GCCGUGGAUGUUGCAAGUUUUGAGGGAGUUUGUUAUUGGCAUGCUGACUGCAGAAAUGUCCACCAGAACUAUUCCCUGGAAUUGAAUGCUUGGAAAAAGCACCUUGGAUUCCAGGUGUCUGAGCUAACAAAACGGCAAAGCAUUCAUUUUACCAACAUCUCCAGGCACAUGUUUGUUUGUUCACUGCAAUUCCACAAAGGCAAACCAGCCUAUGAAAUGCUUGGGUUCCAUCAUUGCAUCUCGGGCACACAGAAGUCAAAGCACGGAGUGUGGGUGGUUUAAACGAUGUAAAAGGAGGACAAAACCUAUGACUGAGGAUAAUGCUGCACCCGCACCACUUCAUGAUGCUGUCCAGGAUGAAGCUGGAACAGCAGAUGAUGGUCCACAGAUGAAAGAUGCAUGGACAAAUGACAACACUCCAGAACAGCUGGAAUGCCUUUGUAGCUGUAGUCAUGCUAAAAUUGACUGCUUGUUAGAGGAGAACUGGAGACUUGCUGAAAGGAACAUGGAGGAGGAUUCUUUUAAAGAUGAUGUGAAGGUCAGGUACUACACUGGACUUCUAUGUUUUGUUUUUCUGAUAGGUGUGCUGACACAGACUGGCCAAAACUCUCACCUUUUCAGAUGCUCCUUUCAACACUGAUGCCCCACUGAAUUUGCCAAUUCGACACAUUGCAUGCCUCUUUUCCGUGGAUCCAAAGAUGGUGUCUACCACAUUCAGAGAUACUAUAGGCACUAUGUUUAGACAUCUCAAACCUCUGGUGCACUGGCCAGACAGACAAUGCUUGCAAGCCACCAUACCACAUCAGUUUUUUUGAGGCUUUUGGCAAUCAUGAGACUGCUUUGAAAUUUUCAUUGAAAGAGCAUACAAACACCAUCACACCCUGAAGUAUCUCAUUGGCAUUACACCAGGUGAAAAGACAGCUGGAUGCAAUAGAUGUGGAGGAAACACACCUGAGCUCUCACCUCAGGGUUCAUGUGAAGAGGAUGUGUUCGCACAAAGUAUGUACUGAAUGUUAUUGUUCCAAACAGCAUGCCACUCCCAUGUACAGGUGAGGACAUGACUGUCCUGGACAAGAUUGUGACUGCAUGCUGUGCUUUGACUAAUAUGUGCAAGAGCAAGAGUUCACUAAUAUGACCUAGCAUUGUCAUCAAACCAUAAACUAAGAAAUUAAUGCCGUAAAAUUGAUUUCUCUCAAGGAAUGUCAUCCAACAUAAUGGGGGUAAGUGAUUAAUGACAAUAUUUUCAUUUUGGGGUGGAGUACCCCUUUAACAGACAAAUACUGUACCUUGAAAUACUUUACACUGAAAAGUCCUUUCAGUGUCCAGCAUUACUCGUUUAUUAAAUCAUCAGUUUUUAAACUUAUCUGGUGGUA